UACGUAGGUGGCAAGCGUUGUCCGGAAUUACUGGGCGUAAAGGGCGUGUAGGCGGCCUGGUAAGUUAGGAGUGAAACCCGUCGGCUCAACCGACGGCCUGCCUUUGAAACUGGGGGACUUGAGGGCAGGGGAGGGGAGUGGAAUUCCCAGUGUAGCGGUGAAAUGCGUAGAUAUUGGGAGGAACACCAGUGGCGAAGGCGACUUUCUGGUCUGUAACUGACGCUGAGGCGCGAAAGCUAGGGGAGCAAACAGG
rnacentral:rRNA from 1 species